rnacentral:tRNA from 1 species
GCCGAGGUGGUGAAAUUGGUAUACACGCACGCUUGAGGGGCGUGUGGAGCGAUCCAUGCGGGUUCGAGUCCCGCCCUCGGCA